CUCAACAGGGAAAGCUGAUUCCGGAGAGCCAGAGCACUGCAAGUCAAGGAGGGCUGAUAACAGAACACUUGGAACUCUGUAUUAAGCUAACUUAUUAAGAAUGGAGCUUUCAUUCCUUAUCAGUGGGCUGGCUAUAUGGACAUGGACUUGAACAGGCUGCAACCCUGUGAGCUUUUAAAGGUUAUGAAAGGCAUCAGAGACUCCCUCACCAACCUGAAUCAGUAGUAGAUAUCACUGGAGCCAAAGCAGCAGCUGAGAGAUGCGCUUGACCUAACUCAAAGGUAAAAGAAAUAUCAAAUACUGCAUGAUGCUGAGGAUAAAUCCCUGGGGCACUCCAUCAGAGAAGUACCUUUACAUCAGUAUCAAGAAACAAGAGUCUGGUUUAGAAAGAACUCUGGAUCUGAGACAGAUGACCGGGAUGUGAAUCUUGACUACAGCACUUACUCUACUUGCGACUUUAGUGACUUUGCCUGCCUACCACUUCCUGUCACUGACUUCUUGAUUCUGAAGACAGCUCAGGCUAUAGGACCCUGAUUUCACACUUGCUCCACUUGAACAUCAGGGUAAGAGGAGGUGAAGAAACAGAAGGUCCUGGAGAUUUAAUGACUUGCCUGAAGUAACACAGGUACUAAACACCAGAGAUGGGAUUUGAAACCAUAUGCUGUUUGUCUUCAUUUUUGAAGCAGACUGAUGACAUCAUGAAGUAAUGUUUUGAUUCCCGUGUAAAACAGAUUUAAGUGAGGCAGAGCUGCAAAAAGUUGUCAGCUUCAUUCACUCUUCAAGAGCCAUGGAAGUCCAGUGGCAAGACAAAAAUCUAAAUGACUGGCAAUGGCCCAGGAUACAGUGGAUGACCUUGGCAUU